AUUGAACGCUGGCGGCAUGCUUUACACAUGCAAGUCGAACGGUAACAGGCCGCAAGGUGCUGACGAGUGGCGAACGGGUGAGUAAUGCAUCGGAACGUGCCCAGUCGUGGGGGAUAACGCAGCGAAAGCUGUUCUUAUACCGCAUACGCUCUAUGGAUGAAAGCGGGGGACCGUAAGGCCUCGCGCGAUUGGAGCGGGCGAUGUCAGAUUAGGUAGUUGGUGGGGUAAAGGCCUACCAAGCCGGCGAUCUGUCGCUGGUCUGAGAGGACGAACAGCCACACUGGGACUGAGACACGGCCCAGACUCCUACGGGAGGCAGCAGUGGGGAAUUUUGGACAAUGGGCGCAAGCCUGAUCCAGCAAUGCCGCGUGCAGGAAGAAGGCCUUCGGGUUGUAAACUGCUUUUGUACGGAACGAAACGGUCUGGGUUAAUACCCUGGGCUAAUGACGGUACCGUAAGAAUAAGCACCGGCUAACUACGUGCCAGCCGCCGCCGUAACAC
rnacentral:rRNA from 1 species